rnacentral:miRNA from 1 species
GAGAGAGAAAGAGAGAGAGAGAGAGAGAGAGAGAGAGAGAGAUGUGGGGGGAGAUAUUGUUGAGACAGUGGUCAUUGAAGAAAAAUGGAUUCUCUCUCUCUCUCUGUCUCUCUCUCUUUCUCUGUCUCUGUCUUUUC